rnacentral:rRNA from 1 species
GAGGAAUAUUGCCCAAUGGACGCAAGUCUGAGGCAGCGACGCCGCGUGGGUGAUGAAGGCCUUCGGGUCGUAAAGCCCUUUUCUGCGCGACGAGACAAGGACGGUAGCGCAGGAAAAAGUCUCGGCUAACUACGUGCCAGCAGCCGCGGUAAAACGUAGGAGGCAAGCGUUAUCCGGAGUUACUGGGCGUAAAGCGUGCGUAGGCGGGAGGGUAAGUGGGUGGUGAAAGCGCUCGGCUAAACCGGGCGAGUGCCAUUCAGACUGCCUUUCUAGAGGCGGAUAGAGGGGUGCGGAAUUCCGGGUGUAGCGGUGAAAUGUGUAGAGAUCCGGAGGAACACCAGUGGUGCAAACGGCGCCCUGGGUCCGAACUGACGCUGAGGCACGAAAGCGUGGGGAGCGAA